rnacentral:rRNA from 1 species
CAGCAGUCGCCGCGGGAAUACGAAGGGUGCAAGCGUUAAUCGGAAUUACUGGGCGUAAAGCGUGCGUAGGCGGUGAGUUAAGUCUGCUGUGAAAUCCCCGGGCUCAACCUGGGAAUGGCAGUGGAUACUGGCUCGCUAGAGUGUGUCAGAGGAUGGUGGAAUUCCCGGUGUAGCGGUGAAAUGCGUAGAGAUCGGGAGGAACAUCAGUGGCGAAGGCGGCCAUCUGGGACAACACUGACGCUGAGGCACGAAAGCGUGGGGAGCAAACAGGAUUAGAGACCCCGGUAGUCCCUGUCUCUUAUAC